rnacentral:rRNA from 1 species
ACUCCUACGGGAGGCAGCAGUGGGGAAUUUUACGCAAUGGGGGAAACCCUGACGUAGCGACACCGCGUGAGCGAAGAAGCCCUUUGGGGUGUAAAGCUCUGUCAGCUGGAACGAAAACAAUGACGGUACCAGCAGAGGAAGCAUCGGCUAACUACGUGCCAGCAGCCGCGGUAAGACGUAGGAUGCGAGCGUUGUCCGGAUUUAUUGGGCGUAAAGAGUUCGUAGGUGGUUUGUUAAGUUUGGUGUUAAAGAUCGGGGCUCAACCCUGGGACUGCACUGAAUACUGGCAGACUCGAGUGUGGUAGAGGCUAGUGGAAUUCCCAGUGUAGCGGUGAAAUGCGUAGAUAUUGGGAAGAACACCGGUGGCGUAGGCGACUAGCUGGGCCAUAACUGACGCUGAGGAACGAAAGCCAGGGGAGCGAAUGGGAUUAGAUACCCUGGUAGUCCCA